CCCUGUCCUUAGUUGCCAUGAGUUGUCAGCUGUUGGGGGGAAGGAGAAAAUGAACUAUUGUAAGAAUGAUGCUUGCAUGCCAACUGGAACAAAGAGCUUGGGUUGCUGCCCCUUCCCCUUUGUUUUAGCUUUCUGGUUUUUCCCAGUCUUGGAGACAGCAGGACAAUUUCAAAAUCCUCUGCCCCUGAAGAAUUAGGGAUAUCGCUCUACCUUGGGAAGAGGAGUUUAGAAAAAUUCAGUGCAAAGCAGACUAACAUCUGCAUCUGUUCUUACAGAGCAUGUUGUGGCAAAGGGAAAACAACGAUACAUGCAGAGGCACGGUAUUUUUAUUCACGCUGAUGCUGGCUGUCUCUGCUUCAGCAGGUAUCCUUUUUCCAGAAGACACUGGACAAACUGAGCUGUUGCACUGGAGUGGAAGGACACCACUGGCUCCAAGUGGUACAAUCUGUUGUCUGCCUCUCACUAGAGAAGGGAAACUGAAGGCCUGAGUGCUGCACUGGACAGAGGUGCAAGCGG
ensembl:lncRNA